rnacentral:lncRNA from 1 species
ACCUGCUAGGUGUCUGAAACACAGAGUUCCUGUUCCCUAAAAUCCAAGAAUAACUUUUAGGGACAAUGGAGGUUUAGAGUAGGAAAUAUUUAUUGAGGGAAAGACAGCUUCUGAGACAGACAGAAUGGGACCCGGAAAGCGGGUUGCCCACGAGGCCUCUUCUCAAAGAAGUUUUAUACAGCAAAGUCACGAGGUGGGCAUCGGGUGGGACAAUCUAUGGUCAACCGGUAAGAUUGCAGUGAACCCUCUCGGGUAACACUGCUCCGGGGCGAAGGCAGCUCACGUGGCAGGUGUGCAGGAAAGGAACAAGGCCCUUCCAGGAAGGCGUGGGGCAGGGCCUCGGUCCCCCGCGCAGGUGAUUGAUGCCUAUUUACCAGUCAUUGUUUCUCCCUGGCGAAGCACCUGUGAACAUUUCACCCCUGACUUGAGGCCUGGCCUCCAACAGCUGCGCCUCCACCCACAGCUGUAAAGUGUCUUCGUCUUCGGCACUGACUCCUUUGAGGGCCCAGCCAUGUUGACUGCCUACAAUAUUUCUACCUAACUUAGCUGUCUAUGAUACAAGCACCAGCCAGGCAUGGUGGCACAGGCCUAGCAUCCCAGUACUCAGGAGGCUGAGGCAGGAGAACCUGGGAGUUUGAAGCCAACCUGGGUUCCUUGAGACCCUGUCUUAAUAAGGAAACAACAGAAAAACAAACACAAACAAGUGUGUACAACCACCACUUUACCUCUGCUUCUGGAGCAUUUCCCACCCUCGUAGCAGACCUGCCCCUGUCUGCUCCGCAGCCUCCUGGCAGCCACCCAGCUGCGUCCUGUCUCUGGGUUUUCCUGCUCUGGUCUGGAAAGUUCUUAUCAACGACCAAGAUGAGACACUGGCAUGUACCAGUUCCCUGAGAGAAAUUAAAAUUCGGAAAGAAAACCAAAACAACAGGCUCACACAGCCUCGGGCGGCUGGCUUCGAGGGUCAGCCCGGUGGUCGCCGGGGUCGUGUCUGUGCCUUUCCACCAUCGAGUGAUAGCCCGCCGGGUGGCUGCUCACGCUCGUGGGCCUGUGCAUCUGCCGACAGGCCCUUGGCUGCGGCCAGCUCCGGCUGUUGUGAGCAGUGCCUUUGUGAGCCAUGUGUGCAGGGUCUGCUCGCACGCUGUUCGGGAUUCUCCGGGAACUGACUGACUCCAGCAUCUGCCCGUUGUGACCUCGAGGUUCUGGGGUGAGGCCAUCAGGAGCUGCGUCUGUUGGAGGAGGGCAUGGCGACCGCCACCGACUCUCCCAGGCGACAGCUCCCUCCAGGGGCCCCGUGGGGUGACAGGGGCUCAAGCCAGUCUCGUGUUUACCAUGCAAAGCAGCGCUGACCCGGAGGUCACUGCCCUGCAGGAAGCCAGCCGAGUUUCGCGCUGGCCCCUCAGAGUCCACGCCCCGACCUGUCCCGCCCAGGGGCCCUCAGGGGGCGCUUUAUCCAGCAUUGCACAGGCCCGGGACUGCGGAGAACUCGCCAGGCCACAUCUGGGGACGCAGCCACCCCAGGUGCGGGCCCCGACCCUACCGGCGUGGGCAGGUAGCUUCUGGUCUCUGGACGUGCCUCAGUUUCCCUUCCCAGAGGCGGGUGGCCACCC